GGCAAUUAUUGUACGCAAGCGCAAAACAGUGCACUGAACUUUAAAUCAUGUGAUAGCAUUUUAUCCAAUUAGAGGUAAACCAGAACUGUCCGGAAGCAGAAGGCAACCGAUUUUGCUGAAGUUCCGAGUUGUCUUCAACACAGCGGAACGGAAAUAUCGAACAUGUUUAAAAAUCGUAGUCCCAGACUGGAUCGA